rnacentral:rRNA from 1 species
UAGGGAAUCUUCGGCAAUGGGGGGAACCCUGACCGAGCAACGCCGCGUGAGUGAAGAAGGUUUUCGGAUCGUAAAGCUCUGUUGUUAAGGAAGAACGAGUGUGAGAAUGGAAAGUUCAUACUGUGACGGUACUUAACCAGAAAGGGACGGCUAACUACGUGCCAGCAGCCGCGGUAAUACGUAGGUCCCGAGCGUUGUCCGGAUUUAUUGGGCGUAAAGCGAGCGCAGGCGGUUAGAUAAGUCUGAAGUUAAAGGCAGUGGCUCAACCAUUGUAGUCUUUGGAAACUGUUUAACUUGAGUGCAGAAGGUGACAGUUGAAUUCCCUGUGUAGCGGUGAAAUGCGUAGUUAUAUGGAGGAACACCGGUGGCGAAAGCGGCUCUCUGGUCUGUAACUGACGCUGAGGCUCGAAAGCGUGGGGAGCGAACAGG